CCACAAAACCAGAGCUUUGACAGGAAAUACGCUGGCAUUUUUCACUUCCGGUUCUGGCACUUCGGUGAAUGGGUUGAUGUGGUGGUGGAUGAUCGCCUGCCAGUGAAUGAAGCAGGGGAGCUGGUCUUUGUUUCCUCAGUCUAUAAGAAUGUAUUCUGGGGAGCCCUUUUGGAGAAGGCAUAUGCCAAGCUCUAUGGCUCCUAUGAGGAUCUGCAGGUUGGGCAAGUUUCAGAAGCCUUG
rnacentral:lncRNA from 1 species